rnacentral:ribozyme from 11 species
AGAUGGAAGUAUUCGUGCAAUAUUUGUAUAUCCAUUUCACAAUUUUUUUUAUUAUUUCCUCUUUUC